CAGUAGCCGCGGUAAUACAGAGGGUGCAAGCGUUAAUCGGAUUUACUGGGCGUAAAGGGCGCGUAGGUGGUUAUGUAAGUGAGAUGUGAAAUCCCCGGGCUCAACCUGGGAACUGCAUCUUAUACUGCGUAGCUGGAGUGCAGUAGAGGGUAGUGGAAUUUCCGUUGUAGCGGUGAAAUGCGUAGAUAUCGGAAGGAACACCAGUGGCGAAGGCGGCUACCUGGACUGACACUGACACUGAGGCGCGAAAGCGUGGGGAGCAAACAGGAUUAGAUACCCCCGUAGUCCCUGUCUCUUAUAC
rnacentral:rRNA from 1 species